UAUCUCAGGAAUGUGGAUAAGAUAGGAC
rnacentral:piRNA from 1 species